rnacentral:rRNA from 1 species
GGGUCUUGGGAUAGUUGGAGUUAAGCGUCCUUGGGUUUAAGUAGUACUGGGAUGGGUGACCUCCUGGGAAGUCCAAAUUCAGGAGAUU